GAUGAACGCUGGCGGCGUGCCUAGUACAUGCAAGUCGAACGAAACUUCUUUAUCACCGAGUGCUUGCACUCACCGAUAAAGAGUUGAGUGGCGAACGGGUGAGUAACACGUGGGCAACCUGCCCAAAAGAGGGGGAUAACACUUGGAAACAGGUGCUAAUACCGCAUAACCAUAGUUACCGCAUGGUAACUAUGUAAAAGGUGGCUAUGCUACCGCUUUUGGAUGGGCCCGCGGCGCAUUAGCUAGUUGGUGAGGUAAGGGCUUACCAAGGCAAUGAUGCGUAGCCGAACUGAGAGGUUGAUCGGCCACAUUGGGACUGAGACACGGCCCAAACUCCUACGGGAGGCAGCAGUAGGGAAUCUUCCACAAUGGGCGAAAGCCUGAUGGAGCAACGCCGCGUGGGUGAAGAAGGUCUUCGGAUCGUAAAACCCUGUUGUUAGAGAAGAAAGUGCGUGAGAGUAACUGUUCACGUUUCGACGGUAUCUAACCAGAAAGCCACGGCUAACUACGUGCCAGCAGCCGCGGUAAUACGUAGGUGGCAAGCGUUAUCCGGAUUUAUUGGGCGUAAAGGGAACGCAGGCGGUCUUUUAAGUCUGAUGUGAAAGCCUUCGGCUUAACCGGAGUAGUGCAUUGGAAACUGGGAGACUUGAGUGCAGAAGAGGAGAGUGGAACUCCAUGUGUAGCGGUGAAAUGCGUAGAUAUAUGGAAGAACACCAGUGGCGAAAGCGGCUCUCUGGUCUGUAACUGACGCUGAGGUUCGAAAGCGUGGGUAGCAAACAGGAUUAGAUACCCUGGUAGUCCACGCCGUAAACGAUGAAUGCUAAGUGCUGGAGGGUUUCUGCCCUUCAGUGCUGCAGCUAACGCAAUAAGCAUUCCGCCUGGGGAGUACGACCGCAAGGUUGAAACUCAAAGGAAUUGACGGGGGCCCGCACAGGCGGUGGAGCAUGUGGUUUAAUUCGAAGCAACGCGAAGAACCUUACCAGGUCUUGACAUCUUCUGACAAUCCUAGAGAUAGGACUUUCCCUUCGGGGACAGAAUGACAGGUGGUGCAUGGUUGUCGUCAGCUCGUGUCGUGAGAUGUUGGGUUAAGUCCCGCAACGAGCGCAACCCUUAUUGUUAGUUGCCAGCAUUAAGUUGGGCACUCUAGCAAGACUGCCGGUGACAAACCGGAGGAAGGUGGGGAUGACGUCAAAUCAUCAUGCCCCUUAUGACCUGGGCUACACACGUGCUACAAUGGACGGUACAACGAGUCGCAAGACCGCGAGGUUUAGCAAAUCUCUUAAAGCCGUUCUCAGUUCGGAUUGUAGGCUGCAACUCGCCUACAUGAAGUCGGAAUCGCUAGUAAUCGCGGAUCAGCAUGCCGCGGUGAAUACGUUCCCGGGCCU
rnacentral:rRNA from 1 species